rnacentral:rRNA from 1 species
GGGGAGCAACACACGAUUGAGAUACCCUGGUAGUCCCCGCUCGUAACACGAUGUCUAUUUGGAGGCUUGUGCCCCACGAGGCGUGGCUCUCCGGAGCUAACGCGUUAAAUCGACCGCCUGGGGAGUACGGCCCGCAAGGUUAAAACUCAAAAUGAAUUGACGGGGGCCCGCACAAGCGGUGGAGCAUGUGGUUUAAUUCGAUGCAACGCGAAGAACCUUACCUGGUCUUGACAUCCACAGAACUUUCCAGAGAUGGAUUGGUGCCUUCGGGAACUGUGAGACAGGUGCUGCAUGGCUGUCGUCAGCUCGUGUUGUGAAAUGUUGGGUUAAGUCCCGCAACGAGCGCAACCCUUAUCCUUUGUUGCCAGCGGUUAGGCCGGGAACUCAAAGGAGACUGCCAGUGAUAAACUGGAGGAAGGUGGGGAUGACGUCAAGUCAUCAUGGCCCUUACGACCAGGGCUACACACGUGCUACAAUGGCAUAUACAAAGAGAAGCGACCUCGCGAGAGCAAGCGGACCUCAUAAAGUAUGUCGUAGUCCGGAUUGGAGUCUGCAACUCGACUCCAUGAAGUCGGAAUCGCUAGUAAUAGUAGAUCAGAAUGCUACGGUGAAUACGUUCCCGGGCCUUGUACACACCGCCCGUCACACCAUGGGAGUGGGUUGCAAAAGAAGUAGGUAGCUUAACCUUCGGGAGGGCGC